rnacentral:rRNA from 1 species
AUUGAACGCUGGCGGCAGGCCUAACACAUGCAAGUCGAGCGGAGCGGCGGACGGGUGAGUAAUGCCUAGGAAUCUGCCUGGUAGUGGGGGAUAAAGUCCGGAAACGGGCGCUAACACCGCAUACUAUCAGAUGAGACUAGGCCGGAUUAGCUAGUUGGUGGGGUAAAGGCCUACCAAGGCGACGAUCCGUAACUGGUCUGAGAGGAUGAUCAGUAACCCUGGAGCUUAGACACGGUCCAGACUCCUACGGGAGGCAGCAGUGGGGAAUAUUCGACAAUGAGCGAAAGCGUGAUCCAGCCAUGCCGCGUGUUUUAAGAAGGUCUUCGGAUUGUCGAGCACUUUAAGUUGGGCGGCGUUACCAACAGUUUAGGCACCGGCUAACUUCAUGCCAGCAGCCUCGGUAAUUC